rnacentral:misc_RNA from 1 species
AACGCACAUUGCACCCGGUGGUAUUCCGCCGGGUAUGCCUGUUCGAGCGUCAUUUCCACCCUCAGGCCCCCCUCCUCGCGGGGGGAAGGGCCUGGUGUUGGGGAUCUGCGGGCACCUCUGGCGCCCGCAGUCCCCUAAAUUAAUCGGCGUGCGCGCUGUACGUUGCCCCCUGCGUAGUAGUGAUUUCUCGCAUCGGGCCGUAGCGCUGUCCAGCCGCUAAACUGCAACUACGCAUUUAGCUAGGUUUGACCUCGAAUCAGGUAGGGUUACCCGCUGAACUUAA